rnacentral:misc_RNA from 1 species
CUCGUUUUUCGGUCGUCUGUGUGGUUCUACCCUAGUAAGGGUACGACAUUCUAUUUUAUGACGGAUAUUUGUUUGCCCCGUUGAUACUCGUUAUCAUCGGUGCAGCCGAUUUGCGGGCUUAAUUCAUGUGCUGCAGUGGGCGUGGGCCUCGGCACUGCACUUGAAUUUUGCCGGCUCUCACGGAUGCCGUGCCCUUCGAGGAACUCGCGGGCCUCUGGUCCCCCGAUUCCCACGGGAAGUCCCUUGCUUUGGAUCAUUGCUCCGCCGCCCCGCUAUCUUGUUGCGGGUAUUGGGAUGUCGGCGCGGUGCGUGCGGGGCGUGCUCCUGUGCAAUUGAGAUGUUUGUCCGAUCGAAUGAGCGAUUGUUGCGCGUCGUUCCAUAGCGUCGUGGCGGCACUCGUUUAAGACGUGCUACCUGGUUGAUCCUGCCAGUAGUCA